rnacentral:rRNA from 1 species
GACAGAGGUGCCGAGCGUUAGGCGGAAUCACUGGGCUUAAAGCGCGUGUAGGCGGGUCGUUAAGUGUCCGCGUGAAAUCCCACGGCUCAACCGUGGAACUGCCGGGCAUACUGGCGAUCUUGAGGCACCCAGGGGCGAGCGGAACAAAUGGUGGAGCGGUGAAAUGCGUAGAUAUCAUUUGGAACGCCGACGGUGAAAACAGCUCGCUGGGGGUGUCCUGACGCUGAGACGCGAAAGCCAGGGGAGCGAACGGG